rnacentral:sRNA from 1 species
AUCCUAUAGGGACCAUCCCAUGUUAUUUAUUUGAGAUGGAGACUUUGGCUAACUGGACACUUGGGCUAAGCUAGCAGAAUAGACAGCCCUAGAGUUGUGCUGCCUUGCAACUCUUCUAUCUCCCCAUAUGAGAGGGAGACAGAUUCUUUUUUUAAAACUAACCAUGGAGAUAUACUUUAAGGUCAGCAGUCACCUUCUCCCUUCUUGCCUCUGUCUGAUGAUUGGAUUUCAAAGCAAGAAGGAGUCCUAAACACAGCUGUUUCCUAUGGGGCUCUAGAUAGGAAAGACCUUUCCCAGCGUUGGAAAGGUUCUGUCCCCCAUGGAUGGAGACAAUCCUGCUGCCUGUGUCCCUACCAGGACAUCUGUAGGGGACAGUCUCCUCCCGUUCACCUUGCUUCUGCUCGGUGUCUCCAUCCUAAAUGGCGGGAGAGAACGGAGGCCAACCUGUAAGGAUAUAAUUUCCUUCCUAUUACAUUAUUCCGUCCCGAGCAGGAGAGACCAAGUGUUUGUCAUUUACGAGUGUCAUGUCAUUACGUUCUGUAUUGCAGUGUAAUGAUCUGCAAUGAUUAAAUGACAAAAUGCCAGCUCACUGCCAAAAAUUUAAAGUGGCGUGCUUUUAUUUGUAGAUCAGAAAGCUAUUAUUAAUUCCCAUAUUGACUUUGCCACAGGAAAUAAUGCAAGCGGACCAGCAGAGACGGACCGGCAGAGACGGACCAGCAGUAGUAGGUGAGAGGCUGUGCUUAACUGCAACAUGUAGGACAAGGUCGCCAUCAUUCUGGAACCUUCUUCAGAAUGCAUAUCCCUGGCUGAAUAUAUUGGUCUAACAGUCUUGUCACCAGAUGAGUGUCAAGUGGCAGGUAUCAAAAAUAUAACCUGACUGGAGUAUUUAUAGAGAAGAUAAACAGGACUUGUGGGCAGGUGGCAAAGAAGACAGAGCGGUCUCCAACCCCCUCGGCCUCAUGGUCUUCGCCAUCCACCUCUAUCCUGGCAGUUAGGGGCGGGCAGAUCGGAUUUCCUUCUGUUUAUCUUCUUUAAGGGGGAAAAAAGUAUGGACGAUUUCCCUUACGUCAUUGAAUUACCAUAAGAAUUUACUGUUGGCAAAAUAAACAUUUCCUCCCAUCCUAGGCUAAAAGUUCUCUCGUGGAGACCUUCGAAAUGGGGGGCUGGAUUACUGUCCAGCCGUCAAGGCUUUUUAAACAGCUAAAGUUCAGGUCCCCAUGACCUCAAGUGUCCCUGAGUGUGAAGAAUUCUAUUCUGACCUUCCAUCUCCCUGACCACCUCUUCCCUCUCUGUUCUCUGCUUGGAACAACAUGUUUGCUGCCUGUUCUAGGAGGAGAUCUCUCUCAGUGUCUCACAAGCUGGUUGGAGUGACCUGUUUCUUCCUGACCUUCUUUUGUGACGCCCCGCCUCCCCACCAGGGGAAAAGAGAAACACUGUCUUCCUUAAUUCCUUCUACAGAGGAGUCUUUUUGUUUGCUUUAUACUAUUUUACUUUGGUUUUUUGUUUGUUUGUUUGUUUGUUUGUUUGUUUUUUAAAGACUCCGUCCUCAGCCCAGGAUAUCACGGAACUGGUGAUUUCUCCCACCUUCAUCUCUCUUCAGUGUGCUAUGGCACAGACCUUCUUAAGAAGCACUCUUGCCUUUGAGUUUUCCCUGAUGGACGUCACAAAGGCUUCGGAUUUGGUUUUAGUUUUCUUCCGAGGUUUCUCCUUUAAUGUGAAUCCACCUCUCCUGUGUGAUCUCCAUUUUUAUUUUAUGCGGUGAUCGGUGAUCGCUUUGGAGCGUCAUUUUGUUUUCGUGAGGGCAGAUUGACAGAGGCAAACGAAAUGAAGGCACAGGGCACCAUCUUGCUUGGCUCCAGCUUUACAGUUUGAUGCGCGUGCGCACACAGACGCUCACCUGCCGCUGACCACUCUAGGGAGGUAGUAACAGGAAUCCAAUUGUGGUUGUAGAGGCAACAGGAAUCCAAUUGUGGUUGUAGAGGCGUUGACUGCAAGUUUAAGGAGUCAUGAAUGCAUAAAACAGCUGCCAAGAACAGCUCAGGUGGCGGCAUGAAGACCUGACACAAUAGGUGUGUUCCACCCACGGCUGCAGGGGAGAUUUCAUUCUGCACAUCCCCCACUAGAACACACAGAGCAGUGGGUCAGCCUCUGCCACAUGGUUGUGGUUUGUGCAUCUGAAAUGCUUUCAUAAACAGCCUUGACUGCCUUAAUGAACCUGUAAGCUGACCACCACAGUGGCUAUCCUGCUGAGGGAAGCAGCCGCUUUUUGGACGCCUGUGGUACACAACACCACUGAAGCCCGACAACAGUUGGCUCCAUAUCUUAAAGGUACCUGGUCAGACUAAUUCCUUAACUAUUCUGUACUGUAAUGGAGAACAUAGCCAACCUCAGUGUGACCUGAUUAUCUGUGCUCUCCCUAGAUGCUGGGUUCUUGGGAGAAGUGUGGGACGAUAUUGAAAGGCUGCUUGACCUCUCAUGAAUAGCCACUUAUGCUAUGAUGGGAGGAGCGGUCAUAGCAAUAAUUAUUGUGUUUAAGUGUCCCACACAGCAUAUCUCCAGGCAGCGCUCCAUAAACAAAGCAACCCUCCACGUGCUGAUGGCUCUCAAUUGUGCCCCCCUAAAGAAGUGUUCAAAGCAUAGAUGGAAGAGAUGGGGCCACCUCUGUCAAAACACCAGGGGCUGCGCAGC